rnacentral:rRNA from 1 species
AACGAACGCUGGCGGCGUGCCUAACACAUGCAAGUCGUGCGGGAAAGUAGGGGCAACUCUACAAGUACAGCGGCGCACGGGUGAGUAACACGUAGGUAACCUGCCUCGGAGACUGGGAUAACCUGUCGAAAGACGGGCUAAUACCGGAUACGACCACGGGAGUUGAGGCUUUCGUGGUGAAAGGUGGCCUCUGCUUGCAAGCUACCAAUCUGAGAUGGGCCUGCGCGCCAUAGCUAGUUGGUGAGGUAACGGCCCACCAAGGCAGAGAUGGCUAGCUGGUCUGAGAGGAUGGCCAGCCACACUGGGACUGAGACACGGCCCAGACUCC